AAAAGGACUUUGAAAAGAGAGUUAAAAAGUGCUUGAAAUUGCUGGGAGGGAAGCGAAUGGAUGCCUUUGUUGCCCGCUGGUUGUGUGCGGAACGGCGUAAAAGCUGGUCUGUCAACCAACUCAGCGGGCUCGCUAGUGUGGGGGUGGAUGCCUGGACAAAGAUCCCGGGCUUUCUGUUCGGGAUUGAUGCUGGUGUCCACUCUGUGGCCUUGGGUGUGCGCCUUUCUGGCGGGUUUGUUUACCCUGCACGCCCGGGACGCUGGUGGCUUUUGGUUUUUCAUUCGACCCGUCUUGAAACACGGACCAAGGAGUCUAACAUGUAUGCGAGCCUGCGGGUUUGACACCUCGCUAGGCGUAAGGAAACUGAUGCGUGGGAUCCCCUUUGUGGGUGCACCACCGACCGACCAUGAGCUUCUGCGAAAGGUUCGAGUUGAAGCAUACCUGCUGGGACCCGAAAGAUGGUGAACUAUGCCUGAGCAGGGCGAAGCCAGAGGAAACUCUGGUGGAGGCUCGUAGCGAUACUGACGUGCAAAUCGUUCGUCAGACUUGGGUAUAGGGGCGAAAGACUAAUCGAACCAUCUAGUAGCUGGUUCCCUCCGAAGUAUCCCUCAGGAUAGCUGGAGCUCAUAUUGAGAGUUUUAUCAGGUAAAGCGAAUGAUUAGAGGCAUUGGGGGUGAAACACCCUCGACCUAUUCUCAAACUUUAAAUAGGUAAGGUGUCGGGGUUGCUCCGGUGAACCCCGACCUUUGAAU
rnacentral:rRNA from 1 species